AUGUGCAGGGUGAAUGGAGUGACGCAUAGAACCCAGUUUCAGGGGGUAGUUUGGGACUUGGACCCAGGUCCCAGGGAGAGAGUCCAAGGAGCCCUUCUCUGGUCUUCCAAGGCGCCGCUCUCCCCAAGUUCCAGAUGGAAGGCGUGCCCAUGGCAACCGCUAGGUGGUGCCCGUACACCACCAGCCAGGUCUUUGUUUGCCAAAAGUAGAUCAGGCCCAGAGCUGGACAGAACUGCCCCGGGAUCAGGAGAGCAAAUCCUCUCUGUCUUUAGGUCCUGGCUCCCUGGCCAGGCAUCCUGGGCCCAUUUGACUCCCGGGCUCAGGAAGGAGCUGGCUGAGCUGCAGCGAACUGGAAAUACAGACUGGACACUCGUUCUUGCUGCAGGGGGCUGGAGCUUCUUAUCUGCUUCACUGGAUUUGGACAAUCCUGUCUCCCUCAUGGGAUUUGGUGAGAGCUCCUUAGUUUACUUAUUUUUCUCACUGUGCUGGGCCACCUUGUCCCCCACCAUCAGAUUGGGGAACACCUUGUCUCCCAGUCAGACCAGAGGGUUGGACUCCUCCGCCCUUGCAAAGGUUCCUGAGUCCUUCUUACAUCCAUAGAAGGAACCAUGCCUAUUUUACCAAGAGGGAAACUGAGGCACAGAGAAGCAAAUACCACUUCUCUGUCGAGCUGCAGAUGCCUCCCCCUCCUCCUCCGCCGGCUGCUCUGCCCCCACCCUCUCCCGCCCCCGCCCCUGCCCUGGGUAACUCCCCUGGCACCGGGAGUAGGGGAAUUUUGCCCUGCUGGCCUCUGCACCAACCACCUCCCCUUAUCGGCAGCGUCGCCAGCCACCGGUGGCAGCCCAGGGUUAAAGUCCGGAGACAGCUCGGGCGCAAAGCGGAUAGGGAGGGAGGAGUGGCGCCCAACCCAGAACGGGGACUCCCCGGAGGUCGAGCUCUCACGCUGCUGGGAGCAGAGGGGAUGGGCAGGACCGUGUCCCGUGGUAAGGUGUGGGUUCAAUUCUUCUUUUCUAGUGUGGUCUUGAACCUGGAACUUCACCCCCACUGGGAGCCUCAGCUUCUCCAGCUUUAAGGAGUCAGGUGUGUGAAAACGCCCCAGCUCUGGAGUCAGACUCCAGGCGUUUGAAUGCUGGCUCCUAUAACCUGCUGUGUGAGAUCUGGGGCCAUCGAGCGCGUCUCUCUCAGCCUCAGUUUCCCCAGUUGUGCAAUGAGGAUCCCUACUGGGUGGUGGUGAAGGCUCCAUGAGUUCACGCACAAGAAAACCUUGGGACAGUGGCUGAUAGUGGCGUCAGCAAGCCAGCAUGCACCCCACCCUUUCCUUCCAAGAAGAUUGCCUCCUAAAUCUAUGGUUGGUAACCUUCACCCCUCCCUCUUUGACCCACCUCCUAACCCAGGCCACCUGGUGUCUUGCUACACAGCUGGUCUCCCUGCCCGCACCACAGCCAGAGGCGUCUUUGGAAACCCAAUCCUGACCCCUGCUCAGAAUCUGCCAUGGCUCUCCAGUGCCCCCAGGAGAAAACCAAGUGCUGUACCACAGCCACAGCCUGACCACUCGCUGCCUGUAUUUUCUUUCUCUUUCUUGCUUUCUCUUUUUUUUUUUUUUAAAGACAGGGUCUUGCUCUGGCCCCAGGCUGGAGUGCAGUGGCGCCGUCAUAGCUCACUGCAGCCUCAACCUCCUGGGCUCAAGUGAUCCUCCCACCUCAGCCUCCUGAGUAGCUGAGACUACAGGCACAUGCCACCACACCUGGGUAAAUUUUUUAAUUUUUUUUUUUUUAGAGAUAGGGUCUCACUCAUUGCCCAGGCUGGUCUUAAACUCCUGGGCUCAAGCCAUCCUCUCACCUCAGCUUCCCAAAAUGCUGGGACUACAGGUAUGCACCACCGCGCCCAGCCUCCUUUCUGGUUUCCUAAUAAAGCCUUUUGUUCACCUCCUUCAAACACUUCCCCGCACUCUUCAGGUCUCAGCUCAAACAGGGCAGGCCCGGUCCCCUUGGUCCUCUCUGUCCUCCCUCUCCUGGUUCCCUGUACCUCUCCAAAAGCCCCCAUCACCGAAAGAAGUAAAGAUGUGGGGCCG
rnacentral:lncRNA from 10 species